rnacentral:rRNA from 1 species
UACGUAGGGUGCGAGCGUUGUCCGGAAUUACUGGGCGUAAAGGGCUCGUAGGCGGUUUGUCGCGUCGGGAGUGAAAUCCACUGGCUUAACUGGUGGCUUGCUUUCGAUACGGGCAGACUGGAGGUAUGCAGGGGAGAACGGAAUUCCUGGUGUAGCGGUGAAAUGCGCAGAUAUCAGGAGGAACACCCGUGGCGAAGGCGGUUCUCUGGGACGGUACUGACGCUGAGACGCGAAAGCGUGGGGAGCGAACAGG